ACAUCGAUAGCUCAGUGACAGAGCGGUGGGGCGUUGGCCCAUGAAGCCCGGGUUCGAGCCCUGGUCGAUGCA